rnacentral:rRNA from 1 species
UAGGGAAUCUUCCGCAAUGGGCGAAAGCUUGACGGACCAACGCCGCGUGAGUGAUGAAGGUCUUCGGAUCGUAAAACUCUGUUAUUAGGGAAGAACAAAUGUGUAAGUAACUAUGCACGUCUUGACGGUACCUAAUCAGAAAGCCACGGCUAACUACGUGCCAGCAGCCGCGGUAAUACGUAGGUGGCAAGCGUUAUCCGGUAUUAUUGGGCGUAAAGCGCGCGUAGGCGGUUUUUUAAGUCUGAUGUGAAAGCCCACGGCGCAACCGUGGAGGGUCAUUGGAAACUGGAAAACUUGAGUGCAGAAGAGGAAAGUGGAAUUCCAUGUGUAGCGGUGAAAUGCGCAGAGAUAUGGAGGGACACCAGUGGCGAAGGCGACUUUCUGGGCUGUAACUGACGCUGAUGUGCGAAAGCGUGGGGAUCAAACAGG